UGCCCACUGAUAAUAUUUAUUAAAGGGCUGCAGUAUUUUGACUGUACAAAGGUAGCAUAAUCAAUAGUCAUUUAAUUGAUGACUUGUAUGAAAGAUUGGAUGAAAUAUAAUCUGUCUUAAAAAUAAAUUAUAGAAUUUAAUUUUUUAGUUAAAAAGCUAAAAUAAUUUAAAAAGACGAGAAGACCCUAUAGAGUUUUAUUUAAUUAUUGUUAUUUAAAUUAUGUGUAAAUUUAUAAUUUUAAAUAAAAUAUUAAAUUUUAUUGGGGUGAUAAAAAAAUUAAAAAAACUUUUUUUAAGUGAAUUCAUAAAUAAUUGAAUUAUUGAUCCAAUUUUAUUGAUUAUAAGAAAAAAUUACCUUAGGGAUAACAGCGUAAUUUUAUUUUUUAGUUCUUAUAAAAAAUAGAGUUUGCGACCUCGAUGUUGGAUUAAGAUAAAAAUUAAAUGUAGAAGUUUAUUAUUUUGA
rnacentral:rRNA from 1 species